GAUUUUUCGGUCUGGCUUUGGACGGGUGGGUGUGUGUGUGUGUGCCCGAGAAGAAAACCAUGCCCGAUGCUGACUGGAUCCGGGAAGAGAAUACAACUCAGCUGACAUCUUUACACGACAGAGGCAGCAAGAAGAACAAUGCCUCAUCACCUCCUGAACUGUUGUAUGAGGAAAUGGAGCAUGAUGAAUGACUGAGGACAUAAUUUUUGAAGAUCUAAUAAUAAAUAUUAACACUUCAUAUCAUCAGGAAACAUUGCCAUCUACAAUAGAAUUAUUUGCACCAAAUUUGAAGAAGAAGACAACCUAGGUGCUUAUUUCAAGCUUUUCUUCUUACUGUGCCAGAAUAUGGAAUGUAACCAGCUCCAUCUUUAUGAUAUACUGGGGCUGGCUGCAAAGCUGGUUUUGUGGAACAGGAAAUGUUUACUUUUUAUCACAAAACAAACACUGGCCUGGGUAGUAAAUGCAGGGCAGUGUUUGUUUUGUGAUAAAAAUAUACAGGACAAGCCAGAAAGUUCAAUGGCAGAAAGGUCAUAUACUGCGAAUAUCAGAAGAAAACUUUAAACCAGUGAUGUGAUGUAUCAUUAUUCAUGAAUAUUUUCAGGAAGAGACAGAUGGAUGAACUCUCAUUUUCUAUGGAAGGUUUCUUAUGGAGCCAACAUUACCAUGCCAUGAUGAGAUAAGAUGAUACCACAAGAAAUUCAAGAUGGAAAAGGGCCAGAGCCAGGUCACUGCAGAGCUGAAAUCUGUCAAUCUAAAUUUUAGUUUAAAAGGCCCUCAUUUAAGACAAAUUCUUCCAUUCAGAAGAAUUCUUUUAAAGACACUAACUCUUAAAUGAGGCUUAAUAAUCUUUGGUUUGACAAUAACCAGUGGUAGAACCUAAAUGCAUGCUUAAUAGGACUGCAGCUGCACUUUGUCAGCCAUUUGUAUUUGUAGCUGGAGAUAAAUGUGUACAUUUUUCUUUUUUGUUUUGUUAUCAAAGGUUAUGGGCCUUUUAUAGGAAUGGGUGAGUGAUGUUCUGUAGCCUGUGAUGUGCUAGGGGACAGACUAGAUGUUCAUGAUGCUCUUUUCUGGCCUUAAAGUCUAUGAGUUUUUUUUCUUGGAGCCAGCACUGCAAGGAAUAUAUUAAGUAACACCACAGGAAACUCAGGAUGGACAAGGGCCAAUGCACCAGUUCACGGCAGAGUUGAAAAUUUGUCAGACUCCAUUUAUAUAUCCAAAAUCUUUUAAUGAAAAUCAGUUAUCUAACAAAAAUCAUAUCCAGUGGCAAUAAAAGAGAUGGCAUGUCAGCAUAUAUCAGGUCGCUAAUUGCUAACACACCAAUAAAUCCUUUCCUAGGGAUUGUGCAUGGGUAUGUGUUUGAGCCCCUUUGUGUGAAGGAAUGAGGAGAACCUAUAAUCUGAGGAGCCAUAAAAAUGAAAAAUUUAGAAAAUGAAAAGUAGAACAUAGGAAUUAAAAAAGAGGAAGAGAUUAUUGUAAAGAAGAAAUAAACAACAUACAAAGAGAAGCAGAGAAAAAUAGAGAAGAUACAACAGUUUAUCAGAAUAAGAUGCCAGAAAUUCUUGCACCCACCUAAAUAGAAGAUAUUUCAUUACAUAAGGUAUUUACAUUACAUGCUCACCUAGGUCCUAGGCAACUGUUUCCAUGAAAAUCCCCUGUUCAAGUCAUUGGGGUCUGCCCAAGCAGGGGAAGUUGCUGGAUCAAUACCAUAAAUAUGCUGUGAAAAUAAAUAUGGACUUUAUGGGCUUGAUCCUUCAAAGUGCUGGGUACUCUCAACUCCUAUUGACUUCCAGGUCAGUAUCUAAUGUAUGAAUGAGAGUUAGUGCAUCAAUGGAGUUGCAAUACAUGGAUCAAUGGAAAGUGAUGCAUUAGGAGGAGCUGAGAGAGCUCAGCAUCUUGGAAGAUCAGGUCAUAUAUAUUCAUUUUUAUUAAUUUAACAGUAUUGAACAUAUAUUGUUAAACACAUAUACACAAACUGGUAGUAAGAAAGUGAAGGGCAUGAAUUUAAAUUCUGAAAUUGCCAAACAUUUCUGAAAUAGUAUUACAGAAAAAUUAUCAGAACUUUGCUUUAUGAUGCCAUCGUAUUAAUAACUAUGUCCCAAAUGCAUCAUGGUGCAACAUUUCAAAUAAUACUGAAUUAUGCAUUAAGUAGACCAACAAUGUGUAUGCAAUGAUUAUUGCAUGUAGGAAGUAGGCAUUUUGAAGCAACAUAAUCAAAAAAUUUUGUUAGGUUAAUCUGCUUACCUCCCAUGCACUGUACUGAAUAUUUACCUUAUAGAAACCCAGGACUGUGGAAUGUCAGCAACAAUGAUAUUAUACAAAAUAAUUAACUUGUUUUGAGUGCUUAAAAAGUCAUUAAUUUGUUCUGAAGUCUCUAAUUAAGCUAAUCCAAGUUUAUAAUGCAUUAGCAGCUGCACUUUAUGUGGAAGUUACUUCUUAAAAAUUAAAAGGACUUCUUCAAAAUGUAAAACUGCUCAAAAUCAGAAGUAGAAUACUGGAGGUUGGGAUUAUGAACACUACAAAUAAAAGAAUUGAAUCCACCAAGGAUGAUAAUUGAUUUGUUCCUUAGUUCCCAUAUGUAAUUUGUCCAAAUGAGGUUUGCAGCAUUCUGCUGGCCCAUGUGAAUGUUUGAAGGUUCUGGUGACCCAUUUCUCCUUUUCUGGUUCGAAAAGCUAUGACAAUCUGUCACCUUCGUCUACUUAGGAGAUCCUGUUAUAGCAUUAUCCAAUUAUUCACUAAACUGUGUAAAGGUCUCUUGACUCAGACUACAAUAGAUGAAAAAAUUAUUUUCGGUUUGAUGUUGGACUUUAGUGGAAGAAAAAGAACUGAUGAAAGUAUAAGCUGACACAGAACAAAGUAUAAAGCCUGAAAUUUAGAAUAUGAUUAGUCUUGACCCUCUGUCCACCAUGAAGAAAGCAAUGAAAAAGUGGAGAAGAGAUAUUUUGGCUAAAAAAAAAUAAGUAGAAGUUUAUACCUAACAUGUUCCUUUUUUCACUACGUGCAAAGUUAUUGCUUUUGCCAACUUUGUCUCUUGCUUGCAAACUUAACCACUGAGAGUGAGAUGUGAUUAAUCUUUAGUUGCAAAGCUCGAAAGACAUUAAGGAAUAAUUUCAUGAGUUUUCAAUAAUAAUGGAAUAAGCCUAAGUGGAAAACUAUAUGGUGAUGUGAAAAAUAAAAUAUUCCCUCUCCCAGUUGAAAUGAAUAAUGGAUCAAAACAAAUACUGAAAAUUCAGUCAAUGAAGGCUGCAAAGAGAGAUCAAAAUGAACUGGGGAAGACUGGGUCCUGGUGCCUGGCACCCUUUAAUUUAUAAAAGGAAAGGAUUUACAAAUUUUGUAGACACAGAGAAGUGAACCUGGUAUUUAAGAACUAUGUAGAAGCCUUGGCAUCCAACUACUUCAUACUCAAGAACAAAAAUAGGAAAAGAUGGCAUACAAGGUCAAUAAAGCUACCUCAGGUCAACAAUAUAUGCACUGAGUAAUGAGCUGCAAGAUCUGUUACAGAACUAUUUAUAGCUGUAACCAGCUAAAAUGUCUGGUUGCUAUAAUAACUACCACAUCAUGUAGCAUUCUUUCUGUUACACACAGCAGCUCUUUCACAGGUAGAACAGGUAUCAAUAUUUUGUGUACAGAGCACUGUUUAAUUUGUUGUAAAGAGCAAAAUAUACCUGGUAUGUAAAAAAGAAAUCCUUUACCCUGCAAACCUCAUUUAAUAGAUCAAUGAAACUUGGAGAUGGGGAAAAUGAGAGAUGUGAGGACAGCUGUCAUGUAUGCACCAUGACAGUUCUCU